GUGGCUGUGGCUCAGCGAUAGAGCACUCAUCUCACAUGUUUGGGGUCCUGGGUUCCAUCCUCAGCACCACA
rnacentral:tRNA from 1 species